GAUGAACGCUGGCGGCGUGCCUAAUACAUGCAAGUCGAGCGAAUGGGUUAAGAGCUUGCUCUUAUGAAGUUAGCGGCGGACGGGUGAGUAACACGUGGGUAACCUGCCCAUAAGACUGGGAUAACUCCGGGAAACCGGGGCUAAUACCGGAUAACAUUUUGAACCGCAUGGUUCGAAAUUGAAAGGCGGCUUCGGCUGUCACUUAUGGAUGGACCCGCGUCGCAUUAGCUAGUUGGUGAGGUAACGGCUCACCAAGGCAACGAUGCGUAGCCGACCUGAGAGGGUGAUCGGCCACACUGGGACUGAGACACGGCCCAGACUCCUACGGGAGGCAGCAGUAGGGAAUCUUCCGCAAUGGACGAAAGUCUGACGGAGCAACUCCGCGUGAGUGAUGAAGGCUUUCGGGUCGUAAAACUCUGUUGUUAGGGAAGAACAAGUGCUAGUUGAAUAAGCUGGCACCUUGACGGUACCUAACCAGAAAGCCACGGCUAACUACGUGCCAGCCGCCGCGGUAA
rnacentral:rRNA from 1 species